AGAUGCGUCAAGUCCUGCUGUUCCUAGUUUCUGGACUGCAUGUCCUUAUUGUUAUCUGAUGUAUGAGUAUCCUUUAGAGUACGUGGAUUGUACUUUGAGGUGUCAAAAGUGCAAGAGGGCAUUUCAGGCUGUAAAGAUUGCCUCGCCACCACCAAUUAUAGAGGGACAAGAAGCUUAUUUCUGUUGUUGGGGAUUUAUGCCUUUAGGAUUUUCCUUGGAGAUCUUUAAGAAAUACAAAGGCAAUAUUUCGAGCUGGACUCCGUUUGCACCCAUGUUUAAUAAACAUGGAGGUGUAAGAAAGCCAUCUGCUCCCAGAGUUUAUAUUGAUGAUUAUGAGGAUGUGUUUCUGGGAUUAUCAGAGUCGAGUGAGGAGUCAGAUGAGGAUUGGAAGGGUGAUAAUAAGAUGAAGAAGGCAAAGAGUGGGAAACGAAAAAGUAAAAGGUUUAGGAGAAAGAAGGGCAAGAUGCAGAAAUCUGACAAGGGAAAGAAUGUUGUAGGGAAUGCUGGUGAUGAUGUGCAAGAUGUUUCAGUGACUCAAGGGGGUGUAGAAGUGCCCAAUGUUACAACAGCUCAAUCAAGCAAGAGAGCUGGUAAUGCCAGAAGGCAAGCUGGAAGGGUUACCAAAGAUGUUGGGAAAUUGGAUUUGAAUGUGGAAUUCAGUAAUGAGGUUGAAGAGCCCCCUGCACCUGGGGUAGGCCAAGGCAAUGGAGCUGGAACAGGGGAGGAUGGGAACAUUGAAGGGAUUGAGUUUUUUGAAGGUCUUGAUGAAUUCCUUAGCAGUCUUCCUAUACUCAAUGCUGUGGGUGAUGAUAAGGUUAAGGCUGCCUAGCAAAGUAAGGCAUUUCUUUUGUUCUAGUUGUAGCUUCCUUUUGUCUUUUGUAUGUUUUAGUAAGGGAUGAAAAGCUACUCAGGCAUUGGCCUUGAUGUUUUC
rnacentral:misc_RNA from 1 species